rnacentral:rRNA from 1 species
CUGGGCGUAAAGCGUGCGCAGGCGGUCCGCAAAGUCUGAUGUGAAAGCCCCGGGCUCAACCUGGGAACUGCAUUGGAAACUAACGGGCUCGAGUGUGGCAGAGGGGGGUGGGAAUUCCACGUGUAGCAGUGAAAUGCGUAGAGAUGUGGAGGAACACCGAUGGCGAACGGCAGCCCCCUGGGCUAACACUGACGCUCAGGCACGGAAAGCGUGGGGAGCAAACAGG